rnacentral:rRNA from 1 species
UUUAAGCCCCAGUAAACGGCGGUGGUAACUAUAACCAUCCUAAGGUAGCGAAAUUCCUUGUCGGGUAAGUUCCGACCUGCACGAAUGGCGUAACGACUUCCCAACUGUCUCAACCAUAGACUCGGCGAAAUUGCACUACGAGUAAAGAUGCUCGUUACGCGCGGCAGGACGAAAAGACCCCGGGACCUUCACUACAACUUGGUAUUGGUGUUCGGUACGGUUUGUGUAGGAUAGGUGGGAGACUUUGAAGCACAGACGCCAGUUUGUGUGGAGUCGUUGUUGAAAUACCACUCUGAUCGUAUUGGACACCUAACGUCGAACCCUUAUCGGGUUCACGGACAGUGCCUGGCGGGUAGUUUAACUGGGGCGGUUGCCUCCUAAAAUGUAACGGAGGCGCCCAAAGGUUCCCUCAACCUGGACGGCAAUCAGGUGGCGAGUGUAAGUGCACAAGGGAGCUUGACUGCGAGACUUACAAGUCAAGCAGGGACGAAAGUCGGGACUAGUGAUCCGGCACCCCCGAGUGGAAGGGGUGUCGCUCAACGGAUAAAAGGUACCCCGGGGAUAACAGGCUGAUCUUCCCCAAGAGUCCAUAUCGACGGGAUGGUUUGGCACCUCGAUGUCGGCUCGUCGCAUCCUGGGGCUGGAGCAGGUCCCAAGGGUUGGGCUGUUCGCCCAUUAAAGCGGCACGCGAGCUGGGUUUAGAACGUCGUGAGACAGUUCGGUCUCUAUCCGCCGCGCGCGUCAGAAACUUGAGGAAACCUGUCCCUAGUACGAGAGGACCGGGACGGACGAACCUCUGGUAUACCAGUUGUCCCACCAGGGGCACGGCUGGAUAGCCACGUUCGGACAGGAUAACCGCUGAAAGCAUCUAAGCGGGAAACCUUCUCCAAGAUCAGGUUUCUCACCCUUUUAGAGGGAUAAGGCCCCCCGCAGACCACGGGAUUGAUAGGCCAGACCUGGAAGCUCAGUAAUGAGUGCAGGGAACUGGCACUAACCGGCCGAAAACUUACCAACACACAACUCG